GAACCCACAAAAGCAUAUGAAGCAUAUUGCUUUGAUCCGCCAUAUUUACAAGGAAAAGAUAUUAUACCAGCACCUGAGGACGGUGACUUAGGCGUGAUAACUGUGAAACCGUCCUUGGAUUUUAACGGCACAACACCGUAUUCUGUUUUCAUUUGCAACUUUACGACAAA